rnacentral:rRNA from 1 species
UACGUAGGGUGCGAGCGUUGUCCGGAAUUAUUGGGCGUAAAGAGCUCGUAGGCGGUUUGUCGCGUCUGCCGUGAAAACUUGGGGCUUAACUCCAAGCUUGCGGUCGAUACGGGCAGACUUGAGUUCGGCAGGGGAGACUGGAAUUCCUGGUGUAGCGGUGAAAUGCGCAGAUAUCAGGAGGAACACCGGUGGCGAAGGCGGGUCUCUGGGCCGAUACUGACGCUGAGGAGCGAAAGCGUGGGGAGCGAACAGG